rnacentral:rRNA from 1 species
CGGCCAGACUCCUACGGGAGGCAGCAGUGGGGAAUAUUGCACAAUGGGCGCAAGCCUGAUGCAGCCAUGCCGCGUGUAUGAAGAAGGCCUUCGGGUUGUAAAGUACUUUCAGCGGGGAGGAAGGGAGUAAAGUUAAUACCUCUGCUCAUUGACGUCACCCGCAGAAGAAGCACCGGCUAACUCCGUGCCAGCAGCCGCGGUAAUACGGAGGGUGCAAGCGUUAAUCGGAAUUACUGGGCGUAAAGCGCACGCAGGCGGUCUGUCAAGUCGGAUGUGAAAUCCCCGGGCUCAACCUGGGAACUGCAUUCGAAACUGGCAGGCUGGAGUCUUGUAGAGGGGGGUAGAAUUCCAGGUGUAGCGGUGAAAUGCGUAGAGAUCUGGAGGAAUACCGGUGGCGAAGGCGGCCCCCUGGACAAAGACUGACGCUCAGGUGCGAAAGCGUGGGGAGCAAACAGGAUUAGAUACCCCGGUACA